AGUCACAUUUUUUCCUUCUAAUUGUGGUUUUGAAACUAUCUCUAAUGACAUAAGGAGCCAAAUGGUCAGUGCAAUGGCACAUUUGUUUUGUAAUGUAGUUUAAUACAUCUUUCUUUCCUGAACUCCCGAGUUUUUGACAAUGACAAUUUUCUCCCUUUUAUGGAACAGGUCAAAUUUUUUGUCUCAUUAGGAGGACCUCAUGCUGGUACAGCUUCUGUUCCUCUUUGUGGUUCUGGCAGAGGUCUACAUUGCUGAUGUCCAAGUAUACAUCUCUCGAACUUGAUUCAGUUAUACAACUUUACUAGUGUUGGAAAACUUUCUUACAUGUGAACUUCUGAAGAGAAGAUUGGUUGUAUGCUUCUCUUCACUUCUUGUCAAUUUUAAAUCUUAUUAUGUUCUCUAAUAAGACUUCGUGCACUGGAUUUUAAUUUGUGGGUUGCAGGCUCACUUGGCCCCUAGUGGUUACCUUAAACUACCAAAUGUGUGUACAUUAUCUCUUGAUGAAACCUGGCCUUAAUGUUGAAUCAAGUCUUUAAACUUGUUUAAAUGGGUUAGGUGUUCGAGAUUUUGGCCUUUUCCAUAUAUUUUUUUAAUCAUAAAGAAAAUAAUUUGGAAGCAUGAGAUUUUAUUUUAGUUCCUCUAUCUUUUUCCAAUUACUGACGCUUUGAGCUCUAGUUUUGGUUCUUUCACUCUAGGCAUCUUUCCUCUUAUUUUCCAAAAUGUUGUGUGAGUUUUUCCUACUUUGGAGCUUCAUUUGUUCCAUGUUUUAUAGAAAGUCUUAUUUUUCUCUUUACUAUUGGAUGGAAUGGGAGGUUCUUGCCAAACAACUUGCAAGUUUAGGUGCUAAGCUUAUCAUUUCUGCUUGAAAUGAAGCUGAAUUAGAGAGUCAAGAAAUAGUUUUCUGGGAAGACACCUACACCAGGUCAGGCCGUAUACUCUGCUUCUAAAUUUGCUCUAAUUGGGUACUUUCACACUCUGCGUUCUGACGU